UAUAUUUAUAAAAUUAGAAACGAAAAGACAUAUUAUUAAUUUAUCAUUUUUUAUUAUUCCCGCGUCUCUUUUCCUGUCCCAUGCUCGAAUGAAACUGUUAAAGCUACUAUGCUGUUACCUCACUGUUAUAGUUGCUAACAGUACGCGCGCAAUUCAAAAUUACAGCGUCAAUUUUGACUGUGAAUAACACUUUUAGUCACAUCUUUAUCAAUUUGAUAAAGUUUGAAGAAGUUCCAACUAAUGUCAUAAAAUAAAUUUCAUUCGCCAAGAUAAAGCGGUUCGAGCGAGAACAUCAUGAAUAGUUUAACGCUUAAAAUUUUUCUGAUAGUUGGUGCAUUCCUUACACUAUUAUACCCCACCAAUGGAUGUUACGAGCUAGGCUGCGGUGGAAACGGUGUCCAACGGGCAAAAAAGAGAGCAGUUAGGUCUUUAAGCAAUGCGAGAGAAACUAUUCUGCGUUCUGCGGAGCAUUUGCGUAAUUGAAAAAAUAUCGGAAUCGAUCAACUUCCAGAAGUAUUUGGUGAAUAUAUACCGGGUUAGGAACUUCCCGAUUAUAUUUUGUCAUCCUAUCUGGUAACUCAAUAUGGUAAUACAUAAAUGUGGAAUUUUUAUAAUUGAUUUAAUAAAAUUAUAGGACGCAGGUAAAAAAAA